AUAAGCGGCUCUUGUACCAUGUUAAGCCAAGGGUAGGACUAAAGCAGGAAUGAGCACUUGCUACAUUUUUAUGCACAAAAAGUAUGUAUAUUUGUUAGGGAUUACCUUGCAGUUGCAAAAAAUAGUUGCUCCAAACUCCCCUAGAUGUACCGACAUGGAUGAGAAUUUAUUUUACAGACAUUGCAAGGAUUGGAUGUGGCGAGACGACCUUCGCUGAACUUCUUGUGGUUGAUGGUUUGGCAACUUGAGAAACAAGCAAUUCAUUUUGUUUUUUUCCCUUGGUAAUGGUGACUCACAUUCAAUAUCUUAUGUCUGCAGUUUGAAAGAAUGUUGAUAAGAAAAAUUCUAUAU